AAUAGAUACCCAGGUAGUCCUGGCCGUAAACGAUGUCGACUAGAUCGCAGUUCCUUCAACGGUAUUGCGGUCGAAGCAAAAGUGCUAAGUCGACCGCCUGGGAAGUACGGUCGCAAGGCUAAAACUCAAAGAAAUUGACGGGGGCUCACACAAGCGGUGGAGCAUGUGGUUCAAUUCGAAGCAACGCGCAGAACCUUACCUGGGCUUGACAUGCUAGGAUUAUCCCUAUGAAAGUAGGGUAGGCCCUUCGGGGUACGAACUAGUACAGGUGCUGCAUGGCUGUCGUCAGCUCGUGUCGUGAGAUGUCGGGUUAAGUCCCUUAACGAGCGAAACCUUUGCCCUUAGUUACUAACGGGUUAUGCCGAGGACUCUAAGGGGACUGCCGGUGUCAAACCGGAGGAAGGUGGAGGAUGACGUCAAGUCCUCAUGGCCUUUAUGCCCAGGGCCACACACGUGCUACAAUGGCGUGGACAAAGCGAGCCUAAAACGCGAGUUCAUGGAAAUCGCAGAAAUCACGCCCCAGUUCAGAUCGGAGGCUGCAACCCCG
rnacentral:rRNA from 1 species